AACGAACGCUGGCGGCAUGCCUAACACAUGCAAGUCGAACGAGACCUUCGGGUCUAGUGGCGCACGGGUGCGUAACGCGUGGGAACCUGCCCUUAGGUUCGGAAUAACUCCCCGAAAGGGGUGCUAAUACCGGAUAAUGUCUUCGGACCAAAGAUUUAUCGCCUUUGGAUGGGCCCGCGUUGGAUUAGCUAGUUGGUAGGGUAAAAGCCUACCAAGGCGACGAUCCAUAGCUGGUCUGAGAGGAUGAUCAGCCACACUGGGACUGAGACACGGCCCAGACUCCUACGGGAGGCAGCAGUGGGGAAUAUUGGACAAUGGGCGAAAGCCUGAUCCAGCAAUGCCGCGUGAGUGAUGAAGGCCUUAGGGUUGUAAAGCUCUUUUACCCGGGAUGAUAAGGACAGUACCGGGAGAAUAAGCGCCGGCUAACUCCG
rnacentral:rRNA from 1 species